AAAGCAUGCAUCAGCCACAUCCAUGCUAUCUCCUAAAGCAGUCAUUCUGAAACCCAAUCUGGGGACAGUGCAGACUAAAUAAAAUUUCAUUUUGAUUUGGCCUCCCGCUGCGAAUGGGACUGCUUUGUCUCAGCCGACAGAACCAGCAAGCCAGAAAGAUUGAAGAACAAAAUGAAAGUUAGUUAAAGAAGACGUUGAAGAAACAAUAGUGUGAAAACAGCACGAAAUGUCAUUUGGUAAAUAUGCCACAGCCUCACAUAAGGAAGAGGAAAAUGGCAGUGUGGGCCAUGAUUGGCAGGUCUGGAUCCAUAGACUGUGAUUUCCAGGAUCACCCAACAGGAAUGAAGACAUUUGGAGAAGAAGCGUUUACUGAAAGGAGAUUCCUGGGCUGGAGGAAAACCAUGAUCUACAGUUCAUGUUGACAGAUAUUGUAUUUUUGGUCCUAGAUCUGACUUUUGAAAUGACUUAUCACAAAUUCAAAUUUAGCAAUCAUGAGUGAAGUACCCACGAUGUGCUAAGCAUCUACCUCUGCAGAUAGAAGAACACUUACUGUUCCUGAGCAUGGGAGGGAAUAGAAG
rnacentral:lncRNA from 1 species